rnacentral:rRNA from 4 species
AACGGGCUAGCGGCGGCCUGACACAUGCAAGGGUCGUGCGGAGGGCUUCAGCGGCCCCAGUCGCGGUCAGACAAGGUGGGAGUAACACUUGGUGAGUAACCUGGGUCCUCGGGUCGGAUAACCACGAAAGGGUUUGGCUAAAUACCGGAUAAAGGGUCCGGGCGCAAGCUCGGUUUGAUGAUGAAAGGGCCUCUGCAUACGCGCAAGCUCCGGCCUGAGAGGGGCUCGCGGCCCAUCAGCUAGUUGGUGGGUAACGGCCCACAAGGCUAUGACCGGGUAGCCGGCCUGAGAGGGUGGUUCGGCCACACGGGUUGAGACACGGGGCCCGACUCCUACGGGAGGCAGCAGUUGGGGAAUCUUGGGCAAUGGGCGAAAGCCUGACCCAGACGCCGCGUCCGGGAAGAAGGCCUUCGGGUCGUAAACCCCUGUUCUGGCCGAAGAACCCUGGCUCCGGUUAAGAGACCCAGUCAGCGCUGACGGUACCCUCAGGAGAAAGCCACGGCUAACUGCG